UACGUAGGGGGCAAGCGUUGUCCGGAAUCAUUGGGCGUAAAGCGCGUGUAGGCGGCUUGAUAAGUCUGCUCUGAAAGCCCGGGGCUCAACCCCGGGAGGCGGGUGGAUACUGUCAAGCUCGAGUCCGGAAGAGGAGUGUGGAAUUCCUGGUGUAGCGGUGAAAUGCGCAGAUAUCAGGAAGAACACCCGUGGCGAAGGCGGUUCUCUGGGACGGUACUGACGCUGAGACGCGAAAGCGUGGGGAGCGAACAGG
rnacentral:rRNA from 1 species